UACGUAGGUUGCAAGCGUUAAUCGGAAUUACUGGGCGUAAAGCGUGCGCAGGCGGUUAUGCAAGACAGAUGUGAAAUCCCCGGGCUCAACCUGGGAACUGCAUUUGUGACUGCAUAGCUAGAGUACGGUAGAGGGGGAUGGAAUUCCGCGUGUAGCAGUGUAAUGCGUAGAUAUGCGGAGGAACACCGAUGGCGAAGGCAAUCCCCUGGACCUGUACUGACGCUCAUGCACGAAAGCGUGGGGAGCAAACAGG
rnacentral:rRNA from 1 species